rnacentral:rRNA from 1 species
UACAGAGGGUGCGAGCGUUGUCCGGAAUCACUGGGCGUAAAGGGCGCGUAGGUGGCGACCCAAGUCAAUGGUGAAAGCUCGAUGCUCAACAUCGAGUCGGCCACUGAUACUGGGUUGCUCGAGCACUGUAGAGGCAGAUGGAAUUCCGGGUGUAGCGGUGGAAUGCGUAGAGAUCCGGAAGAACACCGGUGGCGAAGGCGGUCUGCUGGGCAGUUGCUGACACUGAGGCGCGAAAGCGUGGGGAGCAAACAGG